rfam:Myotis lucifugus cont2.42768, whole genome shotgun sequence.
GCCGGGCGCGGUGGCGCGCGCCUGUAGUCCCAGCUACUCUGGAGGCUGAGACUGGAGGAUCGCUUGAGCCCAGGAGUUCUGGGCUGUAGUGCGCUAUGCCGAUCGGGUGUCCCCACUAAGUUCGGCAUCAAUAUGGUGACCUCCCGGGAGCGGGGGGGCCACCAGGUUGCCUAAGGAGGGGUGAACCGGCCCAGGUCGGAGACGCAGCAGGUCAAAGCUCCUGUGCUGACCAGUAGUGGGAUCGCGCCUGUGAAUAGCCACUGCACUCCAGCCUGGGCAACAUAGCGAGACCCCGUCUCUA